rnacentral:rRNA from 1 species
CAGUAGCCACGGUAAUACGUAGGUGGCAAGCGUUGUCCGGAAUUAUUGGGCGUAAAGGGCUCGCAGGCGGUUUCUUAAGUCUGAUGUGAAAGCCCCCGGCUCAACCGGGGAGGGUCAUUGGAAACUGGGAAACUUGAGUGCAGAAGAGGAGAGUGGAAUUCCACGUGUAGCGGUGAAAUGCGUAGAGACGUGGAGGAACACCAGUGGCGAAGGCGACUCUCUGGUCUGUAACAGACGCUGAGGAGCGAAAGCGGGGGGAGCGAACAGGAUUAGAUACCCCCGUAGUCCCUGUCUCUUAUAC